rnacentral:rRNA from 1 species
UGCAAGUCGAGCGCGGGAAGCCGGCGGACUCCUUCGGGAGGAAACCGGUGGAACGAGCGGCGGACGGGUGAGUAACACGUGGGCAACCUGCCGGACUGAUGGGAAUAACCCCGGGAAACCGGGGCUAAUGCCCAAUACGCCCUGACCUCGCCUGAGGUCAGCGGUAAAGCAGGGAUCUUCGGAUCCUUGCACAGUCCGAUGGGCCCGCGGCGCAUUAGCUAGUUGGAGAGGUAAGGGCUCCCCAAGGCGACGAUGCGUAGCCGACCUGAGAGGGUGAUCGGCCACACUGGGACUGAGACACGGCCCAGACUCCUACGGGAGGCAGCAGUAGGGAAUCAUCCGCAAUGGGCGAAAGCCUGACGGUGCAACGCCGCGUGAGUGAUGAAGGUUUUCGGAUCGUAAAGCUCUGUUGACAGGGAAGAACCCACGUCAGUCGAACAGGCUGGCGUGCUGACGGUACCUGUCCAGAAAGCCCCGGCUAACUACGUGCCAGCAGCCGCGGUAAUACGUAGGGGGCAAGCGUUGUCCGGAAUUAUUGGGCGUAAAGGGCACGCAGGCGGUUUCGUCAGUCCGAUGUGACAGGCCACGGCUCAACCGUGGAAGGCCAUUGGAAACUGCGAAACUUGAGGACAGAAGAGGAGAGUGGAAUUCCACGUGUAGCGGUGAAAUGCGUAGAUAUGUGGAGGAACACCAGUGGCGAAGGCGACUCUCUGGUCUGUACCUGACGCUGAGGUGCGAAAGCAUGGGGAGCAAACAGGAUUAGAUACCCUGGUAGUCCAUGCCGUAAACGCUGAGUGCUAGGUGUUAGGGGUUUCGAUACCCGUAGUGCCGAAGCUAACGCAUUAAGCACUCCGCCUGGGGAGUACGACCGC